UGCUGGGUGGAUUAGUGGCGAACGGGUGAGUAACACGUGGGUGAUCUGCCCUGCACUCUGGGAUAAGCCUGGGAAACUGGGUCUAAUACCGGAUAGGACCUUCGGCCGCAUGGCUGGGGGUGGAAAGUUUUUCGGUGCAGGAUGAGCCCGCGGCCUAUCAGCUUGUUGGUGGGGUAAUGGCCUACCAAGGCGACGACGGGUAGCCGGCCUGAGAGGGCGACCGGCCACACUGGGACUGAGACACGGCCCAGACUCCUACGGGAGGCAGCAGUGGGGAAUAUUGCACAAUGGGCGCAAGCCUGAUGCAGCGACGCCGCGUGAGGGAUGACGGCCUUCGGGUUGUAAACCUCUUUCACCCAUGACGAAGCGCAAGUGACGGUAGUGGGAGAAGAAGCACCGGCCAACUACGUGCCAGCAGCCGCGGUAAUACGUAGGGUGCGAGCGUUGUCCGGAAUUACUGGGCGUAAAGAGCUCGUAGGCGGUUUGUCGCGUCGUCUGUGAAAACCCGCAGCUCAACUGCGGGCUUGCAGGCGAUACGGGCAGACUCGAGUACUGCAGGGGAGACUGGAAUUCCUGGUGUAGCGGUGAAAUGCGCAGAUAUCAGGAGGAACACCGGUGGCGAAGGCGGGUCUCUGGGCAGUAACUGACGCUGAG
rnacentral:rRNA from 1 species